rnacentral:rRNA from 1 species
AAUCUCAAAAAGACCGUCCCAGUUCGGAUCGCAGGCUGCAACCCGCCUGCGUGAAGUUGGAAUCGCUAGUAAUCGCGGAUCAGCAUGCCGCGGUGAAUACGUUCCCGGGCCUUGUACACACCGCCCGUCACACCAUGAGAGUCGGGAACACCCGAAGUCCGUAGCCUAACCGCAAGGGGGGCGCGGCCGAAGGUGGGUUCGAUAAUUGGGAUGAAGUCGUAACAAGGUAUC